rnacentral:rRNA from 1 species
UACGUAGGGCGCAAGCGUUGUCCGGAAUUAUUGGGCGUAAAGGGCGCGUAGGCGGUUCGGCAAGUCUCUAGUGAAAUCUCAGGGCUCAACUCUGAGUCUGCUGGGGAAACUGCCGGGCUUGAGUGUGGGAGAGGAGACUGGAAUUCCUGGUGUAGCGGUGAAAUGCGCAGAUAUCAGGAGGAACACCGAUGGCGAAGGCAGGUCGUCUGGGCAUUAACUGACGCUGAGGAGCGAGAGCAUGGGGAGCGAACAGG